AGCAGCCGCGGUAAUUCCAGCUCCAAUAGCGUAUAUUAAAGUUGCUGCAGUUAAAAAGCUCGUAGUUGAAUUUCGGGACCAAUAUGUCGGUCGUGCCUCGGUACGUACUGGCAUCGUUGGUUUCUCCCUUCUGACGAACCAUGAUGUCAUUUAUUUGGUGUCGUGGGGAAUCAGGACUGUUACUUUGAAAAAAUUAGAGUGUUUAAAGCAGGCUCACGCUUGAAUACAUUAGCAUGGAAUAAUGAAAUAGGACGUUUGAUUCUAUUUUGUUGGUUUCUAGGAUCGACGUAAUGAUUAAUAGGGAUAGUUGGGGGCAUUAGUAUUCAAUUGUCAGAGGUGAAAUUCUUGGAUUUAUUGAAGACUAACUACUGCAAAAGCAUUUGCCAAGGAUGUUUUCAUUAAUCAAGAACGAAAGUUAGGGGAUCGAAGACGAUCAGAUACCGUCGUAGU
rnacentral:rRNA from 1 species